GGAGGAAAAGAAACUAACAAGGAUUCCCCUAGUAGCGGCGAGCGAACGGGGAGGAGCCCAAACUGAUACGGCGUACGAGCUGACUGGCGCUGCCGUAUGAGGGUUGGACGAGCGUAGUGGAGGGGGCAGUCGACCCCUCGCACUGAGUGGUAGAGAGAGCGGAAGGCCACUGGAACGGGCCAUCGAAGAGGGUGAGAAUCCCGUACGCCAAUCUCUGGCACCUGGUGUGAUUACGGAUCGUGAGUACCGCCGGACACGAGAAAUCCGGCGGGAAGCAGGGCGGACCACCGCCCAAGGCUAAAUACCGCCAUCGACCGAUAGUGAACCAGUACCGUGAGGGAACGGUG
rnacentral:rRNA from 1 species